rnacentral:misc_RNA from 1 species
AUUUAGGGAUGAUGCUAGGCAGGUAAUGAUGGAAAACACAUUGUACACAGUUUUUUGUUAUGGUAAUUGUUGUCUUUCUCCCCUUUCUACAUGUGAUUCUUUGGAUACCUUGUGUUAAGCAGUCAAAGCAGUCCUGUCAAUCUUUUCCUGUAUUGAAUUUAUGCCCAGAUCUGCUUAUAUGUGCAGCCUUACUUCUUGAUUAGGAGGAUGGAUCCCCA